rnacentral:rRNA from 1 species
ACUCCUACGGGAGGCAGCAGUGAGGAAUAUUGGUCAAUGGAGGGAACUCUGAACCAGCCAUCCCGCGUGUAGGAAGACGGCCUUAUGGGUUGUAAACUACUUUUAUACAGGAAGAAACGUACCCUCGUGAGGGUGCCUGACGGUACUGUAGGAAUAAGCACCGGCUAACUCCGUGCCAGCAGCCGCGGUAAUACGGAGGGUGCGAGCGUUAAUCGGAAUUACUGGGCGUAAAGCGCAUGCAGGCGGCCUGUUAAGUCAGAUGUGAAAGCCCGGGGCUUAACCUCGGAAUUGCAUUUGAAACUGGCAGGCUAGAGUCUUGUAGAGGGGGUAGAAUUUCAGGUGUAGCGGUGAAAUGCGUAGAGAUCUGAAGGAAUACCAGUGGCGAAGGCGGCCCCCUGGACAAAGACUGACGCUCAGAUGCGAAAGNGUGGGGAGCAAACAGGAUUAGAUACCCU